rnacentral:rRNA from 1 species
AAUAUUGGACAAUGGGGGCAACCCUGAUCCAGCCAUGCCGCGUGUGUGAAGAAGGUCUUCGGACUUGACGGUACCCAUGGAGGAAGCCCCGGCUAACUACGUGCCAGCAGCCGCGGUAAUACGUAGGGGGCAAGCGUUGUCCGGAAUUAUUGGGCGUAAAGGGUGCGUAGGCGGCCUUUUAAGUCAGAUGUGAAAGCCCACGGCUCAACCGUGGGAUUGCAUUUGAAACUGGAGGGCUUGAGUAUCGGAGAGGGUAGUGGAAUUCCCAGUGUAGCGGUGAAAUGCGUAGAUAUUGGGAGGAACACCAGUGGCGAAGGCGACUACCUGGACGAUUACUGACGCUGAUGCACGAAAGCUAGGGGAGCAAACA